rnacentral:rRNA from 1 species
UAGGGAAUCUUCCGCAAUGGACGAAAGUCUGACGGAGCAACGCCGCGUGAGUGAGGAAGGCCUUCGGGUCGUAAAGCUCUGUUGCCAGGGAAGAACAAGCAGGAGAGUAACUGCUCCUGCUGUGACGGUACCUGAGAAGAAAGCCCCGGCUAACUACGUGCCAGCAGCCGCGGUAAUACGUAGGGGGCAAGCGUUGUCCGGAAUUAUUGGGCGUAAAGCGCGCGCAGGCGGCUUUGUAAGUCUGUUGUUUAAACUCGGGGCUCAACCUCGAGUCGCAAUGGAAACUGCAAGGCUUGAGUACAGAAGAGGAAAGUGGAAUUCCACGUGUAGCGGUGAAAUGCGUAGAGAUGUGGAGGAACACCAGUGGCGAAGGCGACUUUCUGGGCUGUAACUGACGCUGAGGCGCGAAAGCGUGGGGAGCAAACAG